rnacentral:rRNA from 1 species
GAACACCCAUACGAAAGGAAAUAGCUAAUUAUGGCUACUGUGACUGUCGAUCAGGCAAAGCUUGUCCUUAACUCUUUUGCCGCGAUCUUCCAAAAUAACCUCAUCUCGAAGGACCUUGUCACUUGGAACAAGCAUUCGGGUGAAAGCCUGACGAUCCCUCAACUGAAUACAUAGGUCGAGAGAGGCGAACGUGGGGAAGUGAACCAUCUCAGUACCCACAGGAAAAGAAAACAACAGUGAUUCCGGAAGUAGCGGCGAGCGAACCCGGAGGAGCCCAAACCUCGUAUGUGUAAGCUUGCAGGCGUUGCAUGCGGGGGGUCGUGGGAGCCACAGGUCGGACCUGCAAGUUCGGCACGGAGUUACAAAGUCGAGUGUUAGCGGAAGGGUCUGGAAAGGCCAGCCAAAGCGGGUGAUAGCCCCGUAUGCGAAAGCACAUCGAUCUCCGAGUGGAUAUCCCAAGUACAGCGGGGCACGAGAAACCUUGCUGGAAUUUGCCGCGACCAUGCGGUAAGGCUAAAUAGGUCCAUCAGACCGAUAGUGAACCAGUACCGUGAGGGAAAGGCGAAAAGAACCCCGAUGAGGGGAGUGAAAUAGAACCUGAAACCGUCAAUCUACAAGCAGUGGAACCUCUAUGGUUUACCAGAGGAACCGCGUGCCUUUUGCAUAAUGAGCCGGCUAGUUAUUUUCAGUGGCGAGGUGAAGCCGACGAGGCGAAGCCGUAGGGAAACCGAGUCUGAAUAGGGCGAUAGUCGCUGGGAAUAGACGCGAAACGGGAUGAUCUAUCCUUGGGCAGGAUGAAGUUCGGGUGACACCGAAUGGAGGUCCGAACCAGUGUGGGUUGAAAACCGCUUGGAUGACCUGAGGAUAGGGGUGAAAGGCCAAUCAAAUUCCGUGAUAGCUCGUUCUCCCCGAAAUAGCUUUAGGGCUAGCGUCGGAUGUUUCGUCAUGCAGGUAGAGAACUGAAUGGACUAGGGGGCUUACCAGCUUACUGAAUCCAACCAAUCUUCGAAUGGCAUGCCGUGAAGUCCGGCAGUCAGACUGCGGGUGAUAAGAUCCGUAGUCGAGAGGGAAAGAACCCAGACCGCCAGCUAAGGUCCCAAAAUCCAUGCUAAGUGGAAAAGGAUGUGGAUGUGCUUAGACAGCCAGGAGGUUAGCUUAGAAGCAGCUAUCCUUUAAAGAAAGCGUAAUAGCUCACUGGUCAAGCGGGUCCGUGCCGACAAUUCAACGGGGCUCAAGCAUGGUACCGAAGCUGCGGAUGUAUACAUGGUAGGGGAGCAUUCCCUACGUCUGUGAAGGUUGACCGUAAGGACAGCUGGAGACAUGGGAAGAGACUCUGUCGGCAUAAGUAGCGUAAAGACGGGCGAGAACCCCGUCCACCGUAAGACUAAGGAUUCCAACGCAAGGUCAAUCCGGGGGUUAGUCGGUCCCUAAGCUGAGGCCGAGAGGCGUAGGCGAUGGAAAGCUGGUUAAUAUUCCAGCACCAUGAUUGGGUCGUUUGUACGAUGCAGGGACGCAGGAAGGUAGGGACACAGGGCUAUGGAAUGUUCUGUGAAAGGAAUCAAGGGUGUCGGUUAGGUAAGUCCGGCCGGCAUGAGCCCAAGGUUUCUGACGAAAAGUCCUGAUCCUACACUGCCGAGAAAAGCUGCUAAGGAGAUCCAAUUGUGACCGUACCGCAAACCGACACAGGUAGUCGAGGAGAGAAUCCUAAGGUGUUUGAGUGAUGCCUGCUGAAGGAACUCGGCAAAUUAACCCCGUAACUUCGGGAGAAGGGGUACCCCGGUAGGGUUCAUAGCCCGAGGGGGUGGCACAGAAAUGUCCCAGGCGACUGUUUAACAAAAACACAGGUCUCUGCAAACUCCAAAGAGGAGGUAUAGGGGCUGACGCCUGCCCGGUGCCGGAAGGUCAAGAGGAGCGGUCAGCGCAAGCGAAGCUGCGAAUUUAAGCCCCGGUGAACGGCGGCCGUAACUAUAACGGUCCUAAGGUAGCGACAUUCCUUGUCGGGUAAGUUCCGACCCGCACGAAUGGCGUAACGAUGGCCACACUGCCUCCUCCUGAGACUCAGC